UAUAUCAUGUACAAUGAUCUACAGUGACGAAAUAAAUCAAUCAAUCAAUCAAUAUACAACUGUAUAAUAUAUGAAAUGCUCUAAAAAGAUACUAAUAAUUGUUUUAUUACUCUUUGACUAAUGAGGGUGGAGACGAUACUAAUUAUCAUGAUUUUGAGUGUGAACGACCUUUAGUAUGAGGGUUGAAGGUACCAUGAAAUCGACUCUCGAGUCAUGAAAUGCUGACUGAUGCUGACCAUGCUGGCACUCCAGUUUUCAUCAAUAAUAGUAGUGAAAUAAGUGAAGUAACGAGUGCUUCUUGUGAUAAAUUUAAACUAUAACUACAAAAGACCUUAACAGAACUCAGGUCAGCACAAAAAAUUAUUGAACUGCUAGAAGAAGAGAUGAACUUGAACACUCCCAAUCUGACCCGCCAGAAGAGGUACUGUCCAACAUCAAGAUUGAGCCCGAUGACAGUGAACUGGAGUUACAGAUAACCCUCAAGAAAGCACGGAGACUGAAGCUGCAGGAGGCUGUUACAGAGUCAAAGAACAGUGUAGAAAAGAUACCUGUCUCAUAAAUUUCAUGGAAAGGGACCUGGCAGAAAUAAAGCAGAGAAACGAAUAAAGAAGAAUGAGCAGGAAGGAAUGAGACACCAGUCGACGUGCUGACUGCUGAAGUGCUGAUCUUGGACAUGGAACCUGAUGUAGGUGUAGGAGUUGCAGGGGCCCUCCAUCUGGCAGUCAGGAUUAUCUGGAGCACAAGCUUCACAUUUUGCUCAUCUCCAAGCUCAGAACUACUCCACUUUGGAUAAGACACACAUAGAUGAUGAAAAGUUCGCAUGUCGCAAGCGCUACAGUGGUCUGACCUCAGACUUCAAAGAGGAGGAGGGCUACAAACCAGAUGUUAAACUUGACUACACAUAUGCUGAUGGACAUGUACUCAAUGCAAAGGAGGCUUUCAGAUACCGGUCUCAUGAAUUUCAUGGAAAGGGACCUAGCAAAAAUAAAGUGGAGAAAUGAAUGAAGAAAACUGAACAGGAAGGAGGUAACCAUCUUGAAAACAAAACUGCGAAUUCUUCAUGAAAUACACUGGCACCAACUCUGAAAUUCAAUGUGGACUUAUACUUUUAUUGUUUGUUACUCUCUGGAAUAUCAUCUCUAGUUUUAAGUAAGAUACAGCUUGCAGCUGCUGAUAGUGCCUGUGUGUACUGGAAGGAAGGCCACAGAGUUCAGGUCACAUUGAAAUGAGUACAGUGGUUCUCAUUUGCCAGCUUUUGGCACUUGUAAGCUGAAAAGUACAAUUUCUAGUGAGUAGUUGCUUGUUUAUAGGACCUGAGCCGGAUGAACCGCCUCUGAACUAAAUCGGACAUGAAGUAGUUAUAUAUUUGGCCUUUCUUGAUUGCAAUAGCAAUAUUUGUACACACCCCAUCCAUGCUGCAUUCAAGCCUGCAAAUUGGCCACUGAACAUUGUGACAUGUAUCCUUCCAAAAGACAAAAGAAACCCUUGUUCAGUUGUAGGCCAGUAUGAAAAGCUGUAAAAUUAUACAAGGAACAGAAUCAGAUGUACACUCUAAUGCAAAUCAUGGUAAAGCACCACUGAUAUAUUAUUGAAACAUUUGUAGUGGGUUAUAAAAGUAACUUGGUUCAUCCUGGCUCACCACACUAGUAAUUGUGUAUAAGAUUUUUAACCACCGUCCAGUCUGAUUGAUAAAAGUUGUUUUUAAUUUUCAUUCUUUACAUGU